AGGAUGAACGCUAGCGACAGGCCUAACACAUGCAAGUCGAGGGGCAGCACGGUGUAGCAAUACACGGGUGGCGACCGGCGCACGGGUGAGUAACGCGUAUGCAACCUGCCUACUGCAAGGGGAUAACCCGUUGAAAGACGGACUAAUACCCUAUAACACAGGGAAUCCGCAUGGAUAUAUUUGUUAAAGAUUUAUCGGUAGUAGAUGGGCAUGCGUUCCAUUAGCUUGUUGGUGAGGUAACGGCUCACCAAGGCAACGAUGGAUAGGGGAACUGAGAGGUUGAUCCCCCACACUGGAACUGAGACACGGUCCAGACUCCUACGGGAGGCAGCAGUGAGGAAUAUUGGUCAAUGGACGAGAGUCUGAACCAGCCAAGUCGCGUGAAGGAAGACGGCCCUACGGGUUGUAAACUUCUUUUGUAAGGGAAUAAAUAGUCUUACGCGCUAAGACGUUGCAGGUACCUUACGAAUAAGGAUCGGCUAACUCCGUG
rnacentral:rRNA from 1 species